CUGUGCACUUACUUGCCUUUUGACGUGAGAUUUUUCAGUCUUACCUUGUAAAUUCCCUGCUCUGGGUCUGGAAAUAGUCAUUUUUCUAAGGAGUACUUUAGUAGUGAGUGGUAUUUAGCAAUCCAGAUCUAAGUGCCAAUUGUGCUUGCUGCAAUUAAAGUGGCUUUGCUUAGACGUCCUUUCAGCAGACAGAGCUAGGAAGUUCGCAGAUUUUGGAUUAUAGUUUGAAGGUUUCUCCAUGCCCAGUUCAAGAAAGAAAUCACUCCUGUUUUCUUCUAUGACUUACUUGGGUUAUUUUUUUACACUUGGUUGUCUGAUUCAUUUGGAGUUUGUUCUGGUGAUUGGUACAAGACAUGAAACUACUUUUUUUCCAAAUGAGUAUCCAGUUGUCCUAACAUCAUUUACUUUUAAGCCAUUUUUUCCAAAACAGAUGGAAUCUGAGGCCUGGAAUUUGUUCUAUGUGUGAUGGAUGAGCUGAGAUGCCAAACAGGGAGCAAUGGGCCAAUCCACAGAUUGGCAGUGACAAGAAACCACUGUUACCUCUAGGCUAAAGUAUCCAAGGCAGGAAAAAAAUGUUCCUGAAGUCCUGGGUUUGGGCCCAGCAAGCAAAUGCUAAAAUCAUGGUAGUCUAUCCAAUGAGAUCUGAAGCCAUAGCAGAGCUCCAGCGGCUUAGCUACCUAUGGAGAAAGGUGUAGAGAUGCCUCCUUUCCUUCUGCCCACCAAUCUCCCACUAACGAUUCCCAUUGGCAAAACCCAGAUGGAAGCCAACUGAUAAGGGAGCCUGAGAAAUGCAUCCUAGAGUUUAGCCUUCUGGCAAAAUGUAACAGAGAUGUGUGGAAAAGAGAGGGGACUUCUCUCAGGG
rnacentral:lncRNA from 1 species